rnacentral:misc_RNA from 1 species
AAGUCGUAACAAGGUAUCUGUUGGUGAACCUGCAGAUGGAUCAUUUCGAUGAAAACCUUUUUUCUGAGGUGUGGCUCGCACCUGUCCAACUAAACUUGAGCUACCCAAUUUCAACACGGUUGCAUCGGUUGGCUGUCAAACAGUGCCUCGGCGCUGGGAGGCGGUCGACACACAACACAAACACUUUUGAUGAUCUAGGAUUUUGAAUGAAGUUCAUUUUUAUGAUGGAACCGACUGGUAAUGCGGUCGUCUAAAUCUAAAAAACAACUUUUGGCAACGGAUCUCUUGGUUCUCC